GGUAUAUCAUCUGAUUGUGUUAUGUAAUAGCCUGUGUCCAGUGUAAAACUAGGUCAUCAAGUAAAACCCUUUAUCUCAAUGUGAAGAUUUUUUUAAAAAAAACUUUUGCUAUUGUUAUCCAACUUUUCUCAACUUUGUAUGUGUUUAGAUAUGAACCAACGAUGUGAUAUUUUUGGAAUAUUUUAUGAUCUCUGUACUUUCAUCAAACCUUCUUUGGUGAAUUUUUCUGAUAAAUUUUAUCUAAAUUUGUUUUAAAACUAAUGGGGCACAGUAAUUUGUGUUACUGUUCAUGUUGUGUUCAUAUUAAAAGUUUAUUUUUAGAACAGUUGAGAUUCAAAGGUCAAAGCCACAAAAGAAAAAAGAGUUUUUUGAAAGCUAAAACUCAUUUGGACUCAUUAUUUAUGGUAUUUUUUGCUUUCCCCCUGUAAAAUGGCUAUGUAUUAUGUGUCUAGACAUUUAGAUCUGUGGACUCGCUGGAGUUUACUGUUCGCGAGCACUCCACUUUACAAUGGCAGCUUGGCAGAGGUUUUCCAUCUACAUGUUAAUUUUAUGUGUUUUAUUUGGCACAUUUUACUUCACUUCUCAAUAUCAUCUGUAAUUUUAGAGGAAAUGUCAACUUUUAAUCAUAGUUCUUGUAUAAAAUAUAGUAUUGUGCAAUAAAUUCUGAAACAUCAGU
rnacentral:misc_RNA from 1 species